rnacentral:rRNA from 1 species
GAUGAACGCUAGCGACAGGCCUAACACAUGCAAGUCGAGGGGCAGCAUAAAGGUAGCAAUACUUUGGUGGCGACUGGCGCACGGGUGAGUAGCACGUAUGCAACCUACCUGUAAGAGGGGAAUAACCCGGAGAAAUUCGGACUAACACCGCAUAAUACCUUGAAGCUGCAUGGCUUUGAGGCUAAAUAUUUAUAGCUUACAGAUGGGCAUGCGUAACAUUAGAUAGUUGGUGAGGUAACGGCUCACCAAGUCAACGAUGUUUAGGGGUUCUGAGAGGAAGGUCCCCCACACUGGUACUGAGACACGGACCAGACUCCUACGGGAGGCAGCAGUGAGGAAUAUUGGUCAAUGGGCGAGAGCCUGAACCAGCCAAGUCGCGUGAAGGAAGAAGGUUCUAUGGAUUGUAAACUUCUUUUGUAAGGGAAUAAAAAGAGUUACGUGUAGCUUAUUGUAUGUACUUUACGAAUAAGGAUCGGCUAACUCCGUGCCAGCCGCCGCCGUAACAC